rnacentral:lncRNA from 1 species
AACUAAUACUUUUUCCAUCACUGUUGAUUUGUAAAUUAUUCUUUCCAAAUAAAUGCUAAACUAGACAAUGUGCUGUUCAGAAAACACGUCAUUGAAGUUUAUGUUUCUUACAGAUUACCAGGAAAAGUUUGCAGCUCUGCAAAUCAAGAGUUUAAACACAAACCCCUCAGAAGCUCCUACACGUCACUAACCAAAGAGAGUAACCAAAAAGAAAGUUUCCUGAGAGAUAUGAUCCAUCAUUACUCAAAAGACUUGUAUUUCCCAUGUUACAGACUGCUGGAAAAAAAGUACUUUUACUGGAAAGAUGACCUGAAGAUUAUGUACAAUCUGAAGGUAAUGAUAUAGACUGUAAGAAGGAAACAGAAGAACCUUCUUUAUCAUUCAGAAGGACCACGUCUACCCGUGUUCACAUGGAUAAGAGGAAGCAGCACUUCAGCUCUGUGCCCUUUCCCUUUUAAGUAUAAUUAAUGCUGUGUAUUUUCACUGCACCUAAUUAUAGAGCUAAAAUAUCAAAACUAUCUGUGCAUACAUAAGAGCUCCUGGGUUUAUUAGUAUUUCCUCUAGGUCAGGCACUGAAUGACACUGCACUUGAACUCUCUUUAUUAUGCUGGAAUAACAGAUUGUCUCCAUCAGACAAGAAUGACUUUUUUUCCAAUUUGUUUGAUUUACUGCAUCUGAGGUCUAAAAGAAACCAGGAGAAAAUAUUAUCCAGCUUCCAUUCCUAAUACAAAAUGGUUAUUCUGAAG